rnacentral:rRNA from 1 species
GACGAACGCUGGCGGCGUGCCUAAUACAUGCAAGUUGAGCGCUGAAGGUUGGUACUUGUACCAACUGGAUGAGCAGCGAACGGGUGAGUACCGCGUGGGGAAUCUGCCUUUGAGCGGGGGACAACAUUGGGAAACGAAUGCUAAUACCGCAUAAAAACUUUAAACACAAGCUUUAAGUUUGAAAGAUGCCAUUGCAUCACUCAAAGAUGAUCCCGCGUUGUAUUAGCUAGUUGGUGAGGUAAAGGCGCACCAAGGCGAUGCUACAUAGCCGACCUGAGAGGGUGGUCGGCCACAUUGGGACUGGGACCCGGCCCCAACUCCUACGGGAGGCAGCAGUAGGGAAUCUUCGGCCAUGGACGCAAGUCCGACCGCGCAACGCCGCGUGCGUGAAGAAGGUUUUCGGAUCGUAAAACUCUGUUGGUAGAGAAGAACGGUGGUGAGAGUGGAAAGCUCAUCAAGUGACGGUAACUACCCAGAAAGGGACGGCUAACUACGUG